GAAAUAGCAAAAACCAUAUUUGAAGGUUGCUUCAAAUUUGAUAUCUCUUUGUCAUGUCAGCGUAGACCAUCUCCAAAUAAGAUGUUGAAUACUAUGUAAUCAAAUUUGAAGGUAUAAGCAAGCUACAACCGAUAUGUCAAUCCUAUGUGGAUUGACAUACGAGUUUUUAUAUGUCAAAUUUGACAUAUGAGAAAAUGUGAUAUCAAAUAAUUUUUAAUUAUUUUAUUGUAUGGAUCUCAUUAAUGCAUCUAUUAUAGAUCAUGAAAACUUAUUUUAAUUGAUUUUUUUUUCUUUAAAAUGGAUUCUACAAAUAUCAUUUAUAACAAAAAAAAAACAUAUCAGUCAGAAAAAUAGAAAGUUUGACGUUGCCACAUCAGUCAUCAAAUUAACAUUUGACAUUCAUCUUUUGACAUCUCCAUUGGAGAUGCUCUUAGCCUUUUUUUUCCAUGUCAGCUUUGACAUCUCAGUUGGAGUCAAUAGUACGUCAUUUGUUAUUGUUAUAUGUUUAUGUGGUAUUUUUUACAUCUCAUUUGGAUAUAGUCUUAUAUAAUAACAUAUGGUGUACUACUUGUGUUACGAGCACGAUAAAAAAUUUCUCCUAUAAAUGUGGCACAUAAACUUUUGCACCAUCUCACUCUACAUUCUAUCUUGCAUUGAGCAGUUGAGAGCCGAACUCUAAAAUGUAACGUACGGAAUUAAUGUGUGAAAUAUAAUGCAUACAAUAUGAUGAGGAAGAAUCUUAUACAUGCUAAUGAAAAAUCACACGAUGAGCUAAAUUCAUAAAUAUAAGGUACAAAAUUCACUUUGAGUAACGAUAUCCAUACGUAUUAAUAAGAAAACUCAACGCAUUGAGCCGAAUUCUACAAUAUAAAAUACGAAAUUCAUUGUGAGUAACGAUUUGUAUGUACUAAUAUAAAAACUUGACGUAUUAAGUCGAAUUCCAAAAUAAAAUGUACGAAAUUCAAUGUGGGUAACAAUUCUCAUACUUUUAUAAAAACUCAAAAUAUUGAGUCGGGCUCAAAAAUAUAGGUACUAAAUUCACCACGAACAAUGGUUCUAAUAUCUACUUGUACGAAAACUUAACAUAAAAACGUCGGCUAUACACCAAUAAUUGUGUGAUUCUUUUUUAAAUUUCAGUGUAUAGUGAUCAAGUGUCAUCCCAUCACAAACAUAAUUAUUGGAUUGAGAAGUUUUGGUUACAAUUUUGACCGGUAGCUAAGUAUAUCAAAUGAGGAUCUCCUAGAUACGUAUGGAGGGUACAAAGGUGCAUAGGUUUCUCAUAAUUCAGCAUUAUCAAGGGUAAUAAACCAUCCACAUUUAUUUAUUAACAUAGUUACAAUAUAUAGGGUAUUGUAGGGGAAAUAUUUUGUUGUUUAACUUGGAGAAUAUCUCACCUUCUAUCUACAUCUCUCAUGGUGAAAUUUUAUUUUCAAUUGUCUAUAAAAACUUUUCUGAUGUUGCUCAAGCGUCGAGACUCCUUGACGAGAGCAAAUUACAUUAGAAUGGUAUUUUAUCAUGUGGUAUUCUGAUUUAACAUACAAUGUCAAGGGGACAUAAACUUACUCAUAACACUAUAUUAAUGAAUCAAAAUGUUGCAGUAAUAAUAAAUCCAUUCUAUACAAUUCAGCUUUUGGGACCCAAGCUGUCCACAUUUUAAUGAUCAAGAGGCUUAGCCGGACCACCACGUCUCUUUUUGGAACAACUUUUCUGAAAUACCAAAACAAAGCUGUAAAUUUGGCAUGGAAUUUAUAAUUGUAAUGGCACCAAGCUAUGUUUGGGUCUGCGUUUUGGUCCUCCACUGCACUAAGGAAGUUACUUCAAUCAAGUAUAAAUCCAAAAGCUAAUUAAUCUUUACUUAAUCUCUACCAUGCAGAUGCAUUGAUUAAUCUCAGCCAUCACCAUUUAAUCUUUUUUGGAUUAACUUGGCUCCUCAAAUAAUGAGGUAAAAUUCCUUCUCAAAAUACUUUGUGAUUCAUUCAUGAAACUUCAUAGUUAUGAUCAGACAAUUCAUAGUUUUAUAUUAUAAAUAAGAUGUAAAGAUCAUUUCUACUAAAAGUCAAUAAAACAUGAGAUCGUUUAGUGUUUAAAUAGAAGUUGAAGAAAAUUGAGGUUUCACCAUAAAACUAAUUUGCAAUAUGAGGAGUAACCCAAGUACUUAUAAGCACAUGCAAAGUUCCUCAUUUUUCCGAUGUGGGAUUUGUACUCUCAUCACGCCCCCUCACGUGUGGCGAAGUUUCAAGCCUAACAUAUAUGUAGACAACACAAAUCGGGUGCAUGGAGAUGUUAGACGUGUGGCUGGUGAGUUUUUCAGACGGGACAACUUGCUCUGAUUUCAUGAAUAAAUUGAGGUUCCACCAUAAAACCAAUUGGCAAUAUGGGGAAUAUCUCAAUUACUUAUAAGUACAUGGAAUAUCCCUCAUUUUCUUGAUGUGGUCUCUCAACAUUUAGUCUUCGAACUGUAAACAAACAAAUGGUUGAAUUCGAUAAAAUUAUUAUGAACUAUUUAGUUGUUUGCUAUAGUUGAUUGAUUAAACGACCUUGGUUGUAAUUGACUUUUUUUUCGAGAUGCUCUUUACAAAUUGGUUUAUAACAUGAACAGUUCUAAUUAUUAGUACGAAAUUUUACAAAUUGGCAAUAAUGUGUUUUAAAGAGAAGUUCCUCCACGUCAUGGAGGAGCCAAGCAUUGUUCAUUUUUUUUUUACCUGUUUUAUCCCCAUCUAAGGACUAGUUUGGGAUAGUGUUGUUUCUGCUUUCUGCUGUUUUGGACCCAUGAUUUUGAUAUAAACCUUUUUUUUUUUUUUUGACUAAACACAAAUUUAGCCCCAACUUUUUUUUAAAAUCUACUUUUAAAAUAAUUUCAGUAAUACCAAAUCAGCCUUAAAAUUGUUAACUGGGAGGACAACUUGAUUUACUGACCACUUUGGGCUUUUAUGAAAAAAAAAAAUUAAUCAACAAAUUAGAGUAGGUGAUCCGUAUCAUAUUAAUUAAUUAAUUAAUCCCAGAUUUAAAGUGUAAAAUGCCUGCUUUUAGAUUAGGGAUUUUCUUAUAUAUAAUAUAUAUAUCUUCAUCUUUUUUCAAAAAUCUUAUAUAUAUAUAAUAGCUCCUUUUUGCUCCUUAAACUUUAAGAUCCAUCUCCUUGUAACAUACAAAGAAUAAAAUAGGUCGAAAAGCUCUAAAGCAUUGAUCUUUUUGUUUAGGAAUGAACUUCGCUGCUAAAAAAAUUAGCAGUAACCCUUGCUGAUGAUCAAUCACAACUGAACACGUGUUUAAAUUAGAUUAAAAAAAUCAACAAUUUGAACACAUAUUCAGCUAUAAUUGAUCAUCAACAGAGGCUGCAGUUGAUCUUUCAACAGCCAAAUCUCAUUCUUUUCUUUACGGUUAAAAAGCAAAUAACUUACAUUAGAGUAGAGAAACUGUUGAAGGUGGUCGUGCAUGUUUGGAAAGAUACCGAACAAGUCACUUUUCAAAAGUCCAAUCUGAAUCCACCCAUGUUCAUAAUAAUACAAUGAUGAAGACCAAAGAUAUUAAAACUUCGUAAAAUUAAGUGUCUUUUGAGAGACAAAUUUACGUGCAACCAAGUAAUGAGACAAUUAUUCUUACAAUGCUAAUACUUAAGAACAAUUGUGAUCACUCCAGAACAGGAUAUGUAUUUCUCCUUCUCAAGCCCUUUUGAAGACAAAUAUGUGUCAAGUAAUUGUUAUAUUCACUAAAUAAUUAAAAUAAAUGUUUCCAUUCAUCUAGACAAAUAUAAAUAUAUUCUUCUCAAAGGAAAUCUCAUAAUCUCAUCAAUAUUCAUUCUUGUCCAGUCAUCAAGUUAUUUAAAACAAAUUGUUUUUAUUUUGAUGUUCAUUACCAGCUAAAUAUGACGGACACUUUUACAGAUUUCUAUAUUUAUACUUAAAAUUUACUUAUUUAUCAACAUUAAAGGUUGCUCAGAGCAAUGAGCAAUCAUAAUGUCACAAAAUUAACCCUGCAAGACAAAGAAAGAUAAUCAUAAUUAGGAGCCUCCAUAAAAGGCUCUUUGGUGCUCAAGUCAAUAAAGAGUGAUUUAUAUGGUAUCAAUUCAGUUCUGUUGGUAUUAGCUAGCCUUCAUCAUGUGGAUUAGAACCCAUAAAACAUCCUUAAUUAGAGUCUAGUCUCAAACUUCCAACUUUGCACAAUAGUAUCGUAUACGAAGAGGUGGGUUUGAGAUGGAAACCUCAACAACACAAGGUCUUUUUAGAAGCAUGUGACUUGGUUUUACAUAGUUCUUGUCAUCUUUGAUGUUGGGGAAACAUACUCAUGCCACAAAGGAAUUAAUUUCACCUAUAAGGUAAAACAUUAAGGGAGACCAUGGACUCCGUGAUGCAUUAUAUUUAAUGGCACAAUUGUGCUAACACCUCUUAUCACUUAUCACAUGACUGUUCAUCACUACAGAGCCGUUGUAUAAAAUAGGACGAUCUUUUAUCCAUACUAAACUCAAAAUUUGGUUCCCGAUACAAAGCCGCUAUUCCUUGUUGUUCUGAUUGGUAAAGGAUAACACCCAUUAUAGCAUGUGAGUUGUUUCAUAUCGUAUUUCACAUUGGUCCUAGGGUGUGUUUCAGCCUCAAUCAUUUAUGAGCAGAAAAGCUAUUUUCAUUUUCAAAAUAGUGUUCAAUCGAUUACGUAUUAAUCACUUACCUUAAGUUUCUCAUCAAGUGGAAGGGAAGGCUUAAAGAUAUUGGUAUGCAAGUUCAUCUCCUUUCUCUAAAGGUUUUUCAAAGUGCAAUCCUACAAAGUAAAGUUUUAGCAAGAAUGGAUGAUGAGAUUCCAUUGAUACAGAGUCAACUCCAAUAGACUUAUUGGAGGGUCUCAUUGGCGUGCAUUCAGUAGGAAUUGAAACU
rnacentral:lncRNA from 1 species